rnacentral:rRNA from 1 species
UAUGGUUGUGUGCCAGCCGCCGCGGUAAUACGUAGGGGGCAAGCGUUAUCCGGAUUUACUGGGUGUAAAGGGAGCGUAGACGGAUGGACAAGUCUGAUGUGAAAGGCUGGGGCUCAACCCCGGGACUGCAUUGGAAACUGCCCGUCUUGAGUGCCGGAGAGGUAAGCGGAAUUCCUAGUGUAGCGGUGAAAUGCGUAGAUAUUAGGAGGAACACCAGUGGCGAAGGCGGCUUACUGGACGGUAACUGACGUUGAGGCUCGAAAGCGUGGGGAGCAAACAGG